UACUACUGAACCUUUUGUAAUUCUUAUGAUGAUAAGAGCAAACAUCUCUCUUUCAAGUGGACGUAGGCUAUAUCAAGUAGCUGAACCACUAUAAUUCUGUGUGUCUUAUUCUCCUUAUUUCCCUUUAUCUAUUUCUUCAUGGUAUCAGAGCAGGACUCUUGAGUAUCUUGUCUCUUUGACUUCUCAUGGGUGUUUCAUCUGACAAGGCUUCUGUCUUUACCAUGGAUGUCGAUGGUAAUCCUAAUCUUCGUCUCUGUUCAGUGCUUUUAAAUGGGUUUAAUUAUAUUGCUUGGUCAAGGGCUGUUAUGUUGGCUCUUGGAGGAAGAUCGAAGCUUGGUUUCAUCAAUGGAACCAUUCGAGCACCAGAGGCUAGCGAUCCAAAGUUUGAGGACUGGUUCCUUCAUCAAAGGAAAUCAUCUCAUCAUCAACGCAAUCAUCUGCAAUCUCUCAUCAAAGUCAACCUUGAUUUUUGCCUUCCUGUCAUAGCUGAUCUGGAUUGAUUCUCUUCAUCAAUCCCAUUGUAUUUACCUUAUCUAGACAACCUGGAUUGAUUCUUUACAUCAAUCCUGUUAUAUUUACCUUAUUUAGAUAUUAUCAAUUUGUAUAUAAUAGUCAUUCCGUGUAUCAAUCAGAUAUCAAUGAAAUAUACUAUUCAUUCUUAAUAUCUUUAUGGUAUCAUAGCCCUAAGGCUCCAACGGGCAUCCUCUGUUCCUUUUUUUUUCUUACAGCAGUCUAUACUCAUGGCUCCUGAAUCCUCUGAUAUAUCCACCCCACUCAUCACCAACACCAACUCCAACACCCUAUCCUCCCUAAUCACCAUCAACGCUGCUGCACAACUUCCCGUCAAGCUUACCCCUACAAAUUACCCAUCUUGGCGUGCCCAGUUUAACGCCCUCCUUAUUGGCUAUGACCUCAUGGGCUAUGUGGAUGGUUCUUCUACAUGCCCACCAGACACUCCAGCCGCGCCUCGCGCCCUUUGGAUUCGUCAGGACCAGCUGCUCCUCCAUGCUAUUCUUGCAUCCGUAUCACCGCAAGUAAUAUCCCUUAUUGCCUCCGCCAAGACCUCCAAGGAGGCGUGGGACAAACUGCUCCAUCUCUUUGCUAGCAAAGCACGUGCUCGUGUUCUUGGUCUCAAGGAACGCCUUACUCUUAUGCGUCGUGAGGAUAAGCCUGUCUCUCAGUAUUUGCAAGAUGUUAAGGUUAUCACCGAUGAACUUGCCAUCAUCGAUGUCCCCCUUUCUGAUGAUGAUCUUCUCCUUUACAUUCUCAAUGGUAUUGGUUCUGAAUUGAAGGAGAUCGCUGCUGUUGUUCGUUCCCGUGACACCUCUAUCUCAUUCGAAAAUCUUCAUGAUAAGUUGGUUGAACAUGAAGCUGCCCUUACACGUGCCGACGCUCCAGUUACCACACCUGUCAUCACUGCUAAUGUCACUCAAAGCUCCCAGCGAGCCCCCACCAACCGUGGUUCUCGCUCCCACAACUACAAUCACAAUCGUGGUUCUUCUAGCUUCCGCAACAAUUACCGUGGUUCCUCUGAAUCCACCUUGCCUUCACCUACUGACAACGGUCGUCGUUCAAACAAUACUACUGGCACUGGUUAUCGUGGCUAUUGUCAAUGGUGUGGUAUACAAGGUCAUAGUGCCAAACGUUGUCCCCAGCUUCAAUCUGGCUCCCAAAGUCAGCCAGUGGUCAAUUCUACCUACCAUGGCGGCCACAAUGCCUCUCCCACAUGGUUGCUUGAUUCCGGUGCUUCUCACCAUGUUACCUCCAAAGUCACCAAUCUCUCCGAUGUCUCCACAUAUGCUGGCCCUGAUGAAAUCAUUAUUGGUAAUGGUUCAGGUUUGGGUAUAACUCAUGUCGGUUUAUCCUCUCUCACUACCCCCUCCUCCAAAACCUUUGCCUUAUCUAAUGUUCUUUGUGUUCCUUCCAUUAAGCAAGAUAUUAUUUCUAUUUCCAAAUUUAACAAACAAAAUAAUACGUCUAUUGAACUUUUUCCUGAUUUCUUUCAUGUCAAGGAUCUGAGCACGGGGGCGGUACUUCUUCAAGGCCCGAAUAAGGACGAUGUGUACGAGUGGUCCUCCCAAUCCCUCCGUCAACCUCAGGCCAUGGUGGGUGUGGUGGUCUCCCCAAAUUUGUGGCACCGGCGUCUUGGUCACCCACAUUCUAAAACUCUUCACUAAGUUCUUCGUUCCUCUUCCAUUCAUGUGUCCUCCAAAUUGUCCGAGUCUCUUUGUCAUUCAUGUCAAUGUAAUAAGAGCCAUAGGCUCCCAUUUGGUACUUCUUCCCUUCAAAGCAAUGGUCCGUUAGAGCUCCUUUAUAGUGAUGUUUGGGGCCCUGCCCCUUAUUCUUCCAUUGAUGGCUUUUCCUACUAUCUUAUUUUUGUUGAUCAUUUUACCAAGUACAUAUGGCUAUACCCUCUCAAAAAGAAAUCAGAUGUGUUUUCCACCUUCACCACCUUUAAAGCCCUUGUUGAAAAUUAUUUCAAAACUAAAAUCAUCACCUUAUUUACUGAUGGUGGAGGGGAAUUUGUCAAACUCAAAAACUUUCUCUCUUCCGCUGGCAUCUCUCAUCUCAUCACACCACCACAUACUCCACAACACAAUGGUGUUGCCGAACGACGGCAUCGUCAUGUUGUCGAAACCGGUCUCACCCUUCUUCAUCAAGCCUCAUUACCUCUUUCCUAUUGGUCAUAUGCUUUUCAAACUGCUGUCUACCUCAUAAAUCGAAUGCCCACUCCCAUCCUUAAAAAUGUCUCACCAUAUACACAACUUUUUCAUCAACAACCCAAUUACUCACGUCUUCGUACCUUUGGAUGUCUAUGUUUUCCAUGGCUACGGCCUUACAACUCCAACAAGUUACUUCCUCGUUCCCGCGCGUGUCUUUUUCUUGGUUACUCCUCCAAUCAAAGUGCCUACAAAUGUCUUGAUCUCUCAUCAAAUAAACUUUUUAUCUCUCGUCAUGUCCAAUUUGAUGAGUCCACUUUCCCUCUUGCUAGUGCCCAUAAUUCCACUUCUUUUGUCCCCUCUCCUACUUCCACCUCUUGGUUUCCUCCUGUUACUCUUAUUCCUUUCCAAGCAGCCCCCAUGCCACCACCAUCGGCUACCACCUCCUCACCGACUGCACCAUCCACAUCGUCCUCCGCUGCCUCUUCUGCCUUGGAGCAGCUCUGCCCCCCUGCGCACAUCCCACCUCCAGCCCCUACUGUCUCUCCACUUGCGGCACAAAACCCACCCUCCUCUAACCCACCUCAUACUACUCAUACCCCUUCACAAACCAUGACCCCAACCCAUUUCCCUUCCAAUCCGACCCCCACUGAACCAGAAACCCAACCUCCCCAGCCAUCCCCUAUCCGUACCUACCUCAGAAACCCAAAUAGACUCGUUCUUACCUUCCCAGCCCCUGACCCAUCGCCUCCCCCACCAUCUUCUAUCUCACAACCCAUGGUUCCCGAUCACCAAAUGGUGACGCGUGCCAAAGCCGGUAUUAACAAGCCCAAUCCUCGGUAUGCUUUAGUUGCCACCAAACACCCCAUACCCUCAUCCGUUGAACCGACAUGUGUUUCUCAGGCCAUUAAAGAUCCCUUUUGGCGAGCUGCCAUGUCUACUGAGUUUAAUGCGCUCAUUAGCAAUGGAACUUGGGAGCUUGUUCCAUCUGACUCUACUCAGAAUCUCAUUGGUUGUAAAUGGGUAUUUCGUAUCAAACGACACCCAGAUGGCACUAUUGACAGGUACAAGGCCCGUUUGGUCGCCAAGGGCUUUCAUCAGCGCCCCGGCUUCGAUUUCUCAGAAACUUUUAGUCCAGUGGUCAAGCCCACCACCAUCCGUGUUGUGUUGCAUCUUGCCUUGUCUAAUGGCUGGCCUAUUCGUCAGUUGGAUGUCAACAAUGCCUUUCUUCAUGGCACACUUAGUGACACUGUUUAUAUGUCACAACCCCCAGGUUUUGUUGAUACCAACCUCCCAUCUCAUGUUUGUAAACUCCGAAAGGCUCUUUAUGGCCUUAAGCAGGCACCUCGGGCAUGGUACAAGGAAUUGAGCUCCUUCUUGCUCUCACAAGGCUUCCGCAAUGCUACCUCUGAUGCCUCCCUAUUUAUUUCUACCUUUGGUCGAAAUGUCAUUUAUUUCUUGGUUUAUGUUGAUGAUCUUAUUGUUACUGGCAACAAUUCUUCUCUUGUAAUGCAGUUCAUUGCCACAUUGGCUCGCCGGUUCUCUGUCAAAGACUUGGGGUCUCUUCAUUACUUCCUUGGUGUUGAGGUUAUUCCCACCACAACUGGUCUCUUUCUCUCGCAACACCAUUACAUUCGUGAUCUCCUACUCAAAGCAAAAAUGGACGGUGCCAAGGAGGUCAGCACUCCAUUAUCUCCUUCUGAUAGUCUUGUGCUCAAUGAUGGGACUCCACCUACUGAUGCUACUCGAUUUCGUCAAAUCAUUGGUGGUCUUUAGUAUCUCAACCUCACACGCCCUGACAUCUCCUUUGUCGUUAAUAAGCUCUCUCAAUUCAUGCAUAAGCCUUCGGAGUCUCACUGGCAGGCCCUCAAGCGUCUCCUUCGUUACUUGAAGGGCACCUUAUACUUUGGUCUUCAUUUGUCUCGUCGCUCAUCUCAUCGUCUCUAUGCUUUCUCUGAUGCCGAUUGGGCCGGCAAUCUUGAUGACCGUAAGUCAACUACUGCCUAUGUUGUUUAUCUUGGUGGCAACCUCAUCUCUUGGAGCUCUCGCAAGCAACGCUCUGUAGCCCGCUCUUCCACUGAAGCUGAAUAUCGAGCCAUUGCUACCACCUCUGCCGAAAUUGCAUGGAUUCAAUCCUUGUUACGUGAACUUGGCAUUUCCCUUUCCGGUGCACCGCUCAUUUCAUGUGACAACAUUGGAGCCACAUUCUACUGUGCUAAUCCUGUUCUCCAUUCUCGCAUGAAACAUAUUGAUAUUGAUUUUCAAUUUGUCCGGGAUCGCGUCAAUAGUGGUCUUCUUCAAGUUUCACAUGUUUCUACUAUUGACCAACUUGCCGACGCUCUCACCAAACCACUUCCACGUCUGCGUUUUCAGCUUCUCCGAUCCAAGAUCGGUGUCUCCGAUGGGACCACCGUCUUGCGGGGGCGUAAAAGGGAACCUUCAUCAAAGGAAAUCAUCUCAUCAUCAACGCAAUCAUCUGCAAUCUCUCAUCAAAGUCAACCUUGAUUUUUGCCUUCCUGUCAUAGCUGAUCUGGAUUGAUUCUCUUCAUCAAUCCCAUUGUAUUUACCUUAUCUAGACAACCUGGAUUGAUUCUUUACAUCAAUCCUGUUAUAUUUACCUUAUUUAGAUAUUAUCAAUUUGUAUAUAAUAG
rnacentral:lncRNA from 1 species